rnacentral:lncRNA from 1 species
CAAAUCUGUGAGCUCCCUGGGGGUAGAGGUUAAACUUUGCAUCUCCCAACCGGCAUCCUUCCCUGAUGCCUAUUAAAGAAGAGUCUCUCCACAUGAUUCAGUAGGAAUCAUGCCUCCUGAAGCUCAAAGAGGCCUCCCAUGCUUCCUUGCUCUUCCAGGCACUGUCAUUUGCAGUGAAGAUGGGAUGACAGUGGAAUUUCCAGGAGAUCUUGACACUAAGAAAUGGAAUGCAUCCGUGGUGGAUUCCCUUGGCCUGGACAUACCAAACUGCACUCAUAUCCUAGACCCAGAAAA